CUACAUAAUUUACACCAACUGUCAAACCUCGGUUGCCGCCGAGAUUAGAGUAUAAGUGAGGGAGAGACACACAAGACAACGAAGCAUGGUGUCUCGACCCAAUGGUAGUGCCCAAGAUCACUUAGCCCGGGCUCCUACCUAUAGUCCCAAUUUGGGAAUGACAUAAAGUCAAGUACACAAGAUCACUUAGACUGGUACCAAAUUCCCGUAUCGGCAAAUAUGGUUUCCAGCGAUAGCCCUUAAACGCCUUCUUCGGGCAUUCACCUAUCUCAUGUAAAAUCAAUGCAUUCAAACUUCAUUUAAUUCAAUCACGUAUCAUAUUCGGUAGGGUAUCGUCAUACCCGACUUGCAAGUCAUCAAUAUCACAUCCACAUAUGCAUAAUCAUGUAAAAACCAAGGUGCUUCAUCAUUUACAAGUGGUGAACAAUAUUUAUUUCAAAUUCAUGCUCUCUUUUGUUGAUCACAAUAUAAUAUGGAGUAUCGAAACAUUAUCAUGGGAAUUUGAAAACAAUUUAUCAUUCAUAUUUAUCAACUUCCAUGGAAAAUCUCAAAUCACAUAUGCAUGGUUUCAACCAUUGAAGUAUAUAGGCA
rnacentral:lncRNA from 1 species